rnacentral:other from 1 species
AAGCACCCAAGGGCGUUCCUGCUGUUUCUUGAACCUACAUUACGUUAAACGGGAUUCCUAUAUCUUCAGAUGGCUGCCAGGCCUCCGUCGAGUGGAAGGCAAAAGUCUGAUUGCGGUUACCCACCUGGCAUUCGCUAGGCGUCAAUAAAUGCAGGUACGUAUCCUUGGGCUUUCU